AAAUGGAUCAACAAAGAAACCCGAAGAAAGGGGUUUGUGAUUCCUAACCUUAUUUUGCUUAAUCACAAGGAUUUGUAAUCAAGAUUCAAUUCCACAAUUAUGUUCUGAAUAAUCGGAAGAGAAUUAUGAAGUAAACGAAACAACCGAUGAAUCAAAAACAAACUUGAAAUCGAUCAGAAUUGGGUUUAUUAUAUACCUGAUUGUUUGCGUAAUAUCGGAGGGUUUAAACCGAGUCAAUCACACGCUCCUCUUGACGGCGGUGACAAGGAUUUCCUCCCCAAUUUCGUUUCUCAUCCCCAGAUUCAUCACCGGCUGGAGCCG